GAUGAACGCUAGCGGGAGGCCUAACACAUGCAAGUCGAACGGGAUUGGUAGCAAUACCAUGAGAGUGGCGCACGGGUGAGUAACGCGUAUGCAACCUGCCUUUAACUGGGGGAUAGCCCGGAGAAAUCCGGAUUAAUACCGCAUAAUAUUGAAGACUGGCAUCUGUUUUCAAUUAAAACUCAGGUGGUUAAAGAUGGGCAUGCGUGACAUUAGCUAGUUGGUAAGGUAACGGCUUACCAAGGCUACGAUGUCUAGGGGUUCUGAGAGGAUGAUCCCCCACACUGGUACUGAGACACGGACCAGACUCCUACGGGAGGCAG
rnacentral:rRNA from 1 species